AGAAUCAACGCUGGCGGCGUGCCUAACACAUGCAAGUCGAACGAGAAAGUGGAGCAAUCCAUGAGUAAAGUGGCGCACGGGUGAGUAACACGUGACUAACCUACCCUUGAGUGGGGGAUAACCUAGGGAAACCUGGGCUAAUACCGCAUAAUACCUUCGGGUCAAAGGAGCAAUUCGCUUAAGGAGGGGGUCGCGGCCGAUUAGUUAGUUGGCGGGGUAAUGGCCCACCAAGACUGUGAUCGGUAUCCGGCCUGAGAGGGCGCACGGACACACUGGAACUGAAACACGGUCCAGACUCCUACGGGAGGCAGCAGUGGGGAAUUUUGCGCAAUGGGGGAAACCCUAACGCAGCAACGCCGCGUGGAGGAUGAAGUCCCUUGGGACGUAAACUCCUUUCGAUCGGGACGAUUAUGACGGUACCGGAAGAAGAAGCCCCGGCUAACUUCGUGCCAGCAGCCGC
rnacentral:rRNA from 1 species